GAAAUACCACCCUUUAAUGUUUGAUGUUCUAACGUUGGCCCGUAAUCCGGGUUGCGGACAGUGUCUGGUGGGUAGUUUGACUGGGGCGGUCUCCUCCUAAAGAGUAACGGAGGAGCACGAAGGUUGGCUAAUCCUGGUCGGACAUCAGGAGGUUAGUGCAAUGGCAUAAGCCAGCUUGACUGCGAGCGUGACGGCGCGAGCAGGUGCGAAAGCAGGUCAUAGUGAUCCGGUGGUUCUGAAUGGAAGGGCCAUCGCUCAACGGAUAAAAGGUACUCCGGGGAUAACAGGCUGAUACCGCCCAAGAGUUCAUAUCGACGGCGGUGUUUGGCACCUCGAUGUCGGCUCAUCACAUCCUGGGGCUGAAGUAGGUCCCAAGGGUAUGGCUGUUCGCCAUUUAAAGUGGUACGCGAGCUGGGUUUAGAACGUCGUGAGACAGUUCGGUCCCUAUCUGCCGUGGGCGCUGGAGAACUGAGGGGGGCUGCUCCUAGUACGAGAGGACCGGAGUGGACGCAUCACUGGUGUUCGGGUUGUCAUGCCAAUGGCACUGCCCGGUAGCUAAAUGCGGAAGAGAUAAGUGCUGAAAGCAUCUAAGCACGAAACUUGCCCCGAGAUGAGUUCUCCCUGAGACUUAGAGUCUCCUGAAGGAACGUUGAAGACGACGACGUUGAUAGGCCGGGUGUGUAAGCGCAGCGAUGCGUUGAGCUAACCGGUACUAAUGAACCGUGAGGCUUAACCUUACAACGCCGAAG
rnacentral:rRNA from 1 species